ACUCUGGUGGUUCAAAGCAAGUUCAAUAUAACACAGUUUCACCUCUAACACAGUAAGAUUUUUUGGCUCCCGAGGAUAGCGUUACAUCGAGGUAGAUGUGUAUUUUUUACUUCACCUCAUACAAGUACUGUGGUACAA